UACAUGGGGUGCAAACGUUGCUCGGAAUCACUGGGCGUAAAGGGUGCGUAGGCGGGUCUUUAAGUCAGGGGUGAAAUCCUGGAGCUCAACUCCAGAACUGCCUUUGAUACUGAAGAUCUUGAGUUCGGGAGAGGUGAGUGGAACUGCGAGUGUAGAGGUGAAAUUCGUAGAUAUUCGCAAGAACACCAGUGGCGAAGGCGGCUCACUGGCCCGAUACUGACGCUGAGGUGCGAAAGCGUGGGGAGCAAACAGGG
rnacentral:rRNA from 1 species